rnacentral:rRNA from 1 species
GACGAACGCUGGCGGCGUGCCUAAUACAUGCAAGUAGAACGCAGUUGCGAACGGGUGAGUAACGCGUAGGUAACUGCCUGGUAGCGGGGGCUAACUAUUGGAAACGAUAGCUAAUACCGCAUACUACCAGAUGGACCUGCGUUGUAUUAGCUAGUUGGUGGGGUAACGGCGCACCAAGGCAACGAUACAUAGCCGCGUUGAGUAGGUGAUCGGACAAACUGGGACUGAGGAAAGGGCCCGACUCCUACGGGAGGCAGCAGUAGGGGAACAUCGGCAAUGGGGGGAACGCUGGCCGGGCAAAGCCGCGGGGGUGAAGAAGGUUUUCGGAUCGUAAAGCUAUGUUGAUAAGGGAGCGGUACUUAACGAGAAAGGGCCGGCUAACUACGUGCCAGCAGCCGCGGUAAUAC